rnacentral:rRNA from 1 species
UGGGGAAUUUUGGACAAUGGGCGAAAGCCUGAUCCAGCAAUGCCGCGUGUGUGAAGAAGGCCUUCGGGUUGUAAAGCACUUUUGUCCGGAAAGAAAUGGCUCUGGUUAAUACCUGGGGUCGAUGACGGUACCGGAAGAAUAAGGACCGGCUAACUACGUGCCAGCAGCCGCGGUAAUACGUAGGGUCCAAGCGUUAAUCGGAAUUACUGGGCGUAAAGCGUGCGCAGGCGGUUGUGCAAGACCGAUGUGAAAUCCCCGAGCUUAACUUGGGAAUUGCAUUGGUGACUGCACGGCUAGAGUGUGUCAGAGGGGGGUAGAAUUCCACGUGUAGCAGUGAAAUGCGUAGAGAUGUGGAGGAAUACCGAUGGCGAAGGCAGCCCCCUGGGAUAACACUGACGCUCAUGCACGAAAGCGUGGGGAGCAAAACGGGAUUAGAUACCCUGGUAGUCCACGCCCUAAAACGAUGUCAACUAGUUGUUGGGGAUUCAUUUCCUUAGUAAACGUAGCUAACGCGUGAAGUUGACCGCCU